rnacentral:rRNA from 1 species
GUUGUAUGGUUAAGUGACUAAGCGUACACGGUGGAUGCCUGGGCAGUCAGAGGCGAUGAAGGACGUACUAACUUGCGAUAAGCGCAGAUAAGGCAGUAAGAGCCGUUUGAGUCUGCGAUUUCCGAAUGGGGAAACCCAACUGCAUAAGCAGUUACUGUUAACUGAAUACAUAGGUUAACAGAGCAAACCGGGGGAACUGAAACAUCUAAGUACCCCGAGGAGAAGAAAUCAACCGAGAUUCCGGUAGUAGCGGCGAGCGAACCUGGAUUAGCCCUUAAGCACUCGGUGAAGUAGGUGAACAAGCUGGAAAGCUUGGCGAUACAGGGUGAUAGCCCCGUAACCGACGCUUCAUCGAGCGUGAAAUCGAGUAGGGCGGGACACGUGAUAUCCUGUCUGAAUAUGGGGGGACCAUCCUCCAAGGCUAAAUACUCCUGACUGACCGAUAGUGAACCAGUACCGUGAGGGAAAGGCGAAAAGAACCCCUGUGAGGGGAGUGAAAUAGAACCUGAAACCGUGUACGUACAAGCAGUAGGAGCACCUUCGUGGUGUGACUGCGUACCUUUUGUAUAAUGGGUCAGCGACUUAUAUUCAGUGGCAAGGUUAACCGUAUAGGGGAGCCGUAGCGAAAGCGAGUCUUAACUGGGCGCUCAGUCUCUGGAUAUAGACCCGAAACCGGGUGAUCUAGCCAUGGGCAGGUUGAAGGUUGAGUAACAUCAACUGGAGGACCGAACCGACUAAUGUUGAAAAAUUAGCGGAUGACUUGUGGCUAGGGGUGAAAGGCCAAUCAAACUCGGAGAUAGCUGGUUCUCCCCGAAAGCUAUUUAGGUAGCGCCUCGGACGAAUACUACUGGGGGUAGAGCACUGUUAAGGCUAGGGGGUCAUCCCGACUUACCAACCCUUUGCAAACUCCGAAUACCAGUAAGUACUAUCCGGGAGACACACGGCGGGUGCUAACGUCCGUCGUGGAGAGGGAAACAACCCAGACCGCCAGCUAAGGUCCCAAAGUAUUGCUAAGUGGGAAACGAUGUGGGAAGGCUCAGACAGCUAGGAUGUUGGCUUAGAAGCAGCCAUCAUUUAAAGAAAGCGUAAUAGCUCACUAGUCGAGUCGGCCUGCGCGGAAGAUGUAACGGGGCUAAGCAAUACACCGAAGCUGCGGCAAUGAAGUUUACUUCAUUGGGUAGGGGAGCGUUCUGUAAGCCGUUGAAGGUGAAUCGUAAGGUUUGCUGGAGGUAUCAGAAGUGCGAAUGCUGACAUGAGUAACGACAAGGGGGGUGAAAAACCUCCCCGCCGGAAGACCAAGGGUUCCUGUCCAACGUUAAUCGGGGCAGGGUGAGUCGACCCCUAAGGCGAGGCCGAAAGGCGUAGUCGAUGGGAAACGGGUUAAUAUUCCCGUACUCAAUCAAAUUGCGAU